UUUGAGAGGGAGAAAUGCAGACAGUCCUUGCAGCUGCUGCCUAAACAAGUGAAAAAAUAUUUAAAAAACAAGCCAGAAGUCUGCAUGAAGCCAUUUUUGUACUCUGGAGAAUAUAUGUUUGUUUUUCCGAUCUGUCCUUGCCUUGGUGACGUUGUGAACGUAACUGAACGGGACUUGGUCCCUGCUGUGACUACAGUAUCAGCCCUGGUCCCACUGUGGAUCUUUCUUGGAGCCCCUGGGUGACUCCCACAGUGGAGGAGGGGCUCUUUGUCACAGUGGCUGACCCAGCUCCUGCACCUGGACUCUGGACCCUGCUCCAGGUCAUCCACACAAACUCCACAGGAGUUUCCCAGCAUGCCUCGGCUGUGGAGCUGAGGGAGAGCUGUUUGUCCUGCUGCCCUGUGAGUUUCCCACUUUUGAACUGGACAGCCCCACAGUGGUGUGGAGUCGCUCCGACCUCAGUCCUCCAACCGUCCACCAGCAUCAAGGAGACGAACUGAAAGAUCCAAACCAGCGUUACAGCGGCCGAACAUCCAUGAAGACUGACGCUCUGGAAACUGGAGACCUCAGCCUGAACCUGACCAACCUCCACCUGUCUGACAGCGCCACCUACACCUGCUCCGUCAGAUCAUUUAGACUGAGAGAUGUCCCACUGCAGGUCAAAGAACCAUUUCCAUCCUGGGCCACAGCUCUGCUGGUUCUGCUGGUUCUGCUGGCUCUUCUGGUUCUCCUGGUUCUGCUGGUUCUCCUGGUUCUUCUGGUUGUCCUGGUUCUCCUGGUUCUUGUUCUCAUCGUCUCUGGAGGUCUUUUAUUUCAUUUCUGGCACUAUUUUAAGUCAGUGACUUUGACACAAAGGCCUCUGCUGUGAUGCUCACACCUCUGAUGAAGCCUCACAGUGUCAGCUUUCUUUUAUAGAUAUAAAAAUAUGGAAAUGAAUGAUAAUAUUUCUGACUGUCUGAGGCAAACUUCAGCGAUUAAAAGUGAAUGGAUUGUAGAAAUGAGUGAGGAUACUGUUAGGGUUCAAUGUUGAGAGAGGAAUCCAUAAAUAACCACAGAUCCAGCCGUGUGCAAUUUAGACGGCAUUUUAAUGAAUACACACGUGCGGAGUCCGAACGCUGUACAGAUUCAGCGUCGAACUGAACUUAAAAUAAUUAGACAAAGGUUUUAUAGAGGUGAGCAUUGUACCACCCCCUCUUCUGUUGUUAGGCAGAUUUAUACAGCAUACGUCACUCAAAACCACAAAUGUUCUGUCAACAACCUUUAACAUAGUUUUAAAGAACAUUGUCUUCGGGUCGGUGCUUCCCCUCAGCUCGUCUUGGCUAUCGCUUCCCUCUGGGAGAUCUGGUGCACUUCCUCUAAGUACUUCGGCACAAUUCUGCAAUUGCAGCAAAAACCCAUCUUCACUUCUUACUUACCAAAAUAGAUCUAUUAUGGUGUGUAUGUGUGUGUCUGCAGUGUAUGCUAUGUAUGUGUCAUGACCUCUCCUGCACUCCGGCUCACCUCACACCCCUCGUCCUAGCCAGACAUAAGGCCUGUGCUCGUGCACAGCUGAACUAUGUGUGACUUCUAAAUGUCACACUCAAAUGAUGAUACUCAAACCAUGAAGGAAACUUACUCAAACUGAACAUAAAUGAAACUUAAGACUUACUCAAAAGGAUAUAAGUGAUAAAUGAUACAAACUUAACUCUUAGCUCUAAAGAAUAUAAGGAUAUAAGGAUAUAACUCCAGGCAUAUGUCAUGUAAGCAGGUGUGUUGCCAUUCCUUUCAGAGCUCCUGUCCUCCUCACCAUGUAUUGGCUGAUCCUUAACGCCUGCCAAGAGUUUCUGACCUUCACUUGACCAGGAGCCACAGCUCUUUAAUAAGUUCAAAUGCAAUCAUGUAUAAAAGAUUAAAAUCAUUUUCAUAACACAGGUUUUCCUUCUCAGAUCUGCCAAUAUGUUUGCUCCUCCUAAUAUAGUCUAAAAGCAACCCCAAGCAAAGCAAUUUGAACUUUCCCCCUAUCAGUGAUCCCUCUAACUAAGUGUGUGUGUGUAUGUCUCGUCUGUCUGUGGGUGCACAGAGUGUGCAUCUGCUCUCUGAACAGUUUCACUUCUGCAAAAGCAUGGCUUGCAGACGCAUUUCCUGUCAGCCUGCAGUCAGCUUCUCACCCACUGAAGACUUCAGUAUAAGAAUACAAAACAUUCAAAAACCUUUAAAUUAUAGAUUCAACUCAACAAUUUAAAGUGGUUCUUACUGGACCUAUAAUAAAGACUUAUAUAAUACCAAUAUAUUUGAACAUCUGAAUGCAU
ensembl:lncRNA